rnacentral:lncRNA from 1 species
ACCCAUUUUGUUAAAUAAAGGAUUUUCAUAUUUUGUUCAAUUGAAGGUUUGUAUUGAAAAUAAUUUACCCAACCAUAGGCUUUGUUCAAAAAAUAUUUACCCAACCCUUCAUACCUCAGAAAAAUGGCUUACCCAACCCAUUUCUCUUCGGUACCAACCCCGGGUAUAAAUAAUGAACACUCCCUAACCAGAAUGUGUACAUCAUGCCACUUUUAUCAACUAUACAACGCCAAUAUGUACAAUCCCAUUAACGUAUGUUACAAAUACAAAUUUACAUUAUUAAAAUUGUUAACAGCUUUGUUCUAUUACAAAUCUACCAAACUACAAAAUUCAAUUACCAUGCUAUCAAUAAAUUUGAUGACUUAUAAUAUAAUAUCAGUGUAUCUUACACAGUCGUUCUGGCAUGUUGAAAGCUAUUUUCAUCUAUAAGACUAUAUAUAAACAACAAUUAAAGGCAGGGACGCCGGAACGAUAAAAAGGCAAAGGGGGGCAGAUACACACCAAAGGCACCCCUAUAGAUCAAAAGUUCAAAAUCUACCUGAAAAAUUAUUUUUUACAUGAAAAUUUUUUUGGGCGACCUCCCCCCCUCCCGUCGUCAAAAAAUUUCGGUCAGUGUACCAUUUUAGGGGUCAAAAAAUUUUUCCGGACAUACCAAAAUUUUCCGUGACGUAAAAAAAUUUUUCCGCACAUCAGCAAUUUUCACCAUUUAUCCAAAAUAUUUUUCUAAAAUCCAAAAAUUUUCUAAAAUUUUUGUAAAUUAACCUCAUUCUUUUCCAAAUUCACACUUAUUUUUGUAAAUUAACUUUCUCUGGGCCUAUAAAUUACCUGAAUCUCAUUAUUUUGCCCGAAAAAGCAUCACUGGAAAUGUGAUUUAUCAGGUAGUAUUUUACAACUAAAAGGGCACUUCUGCCCCCCUUGCCCCCCCUAGCAAAAGGCAAGAGGGGCAGCUGCCCCCCCCCAGUUCCGGCGUCCCUGAUUAAAGGAAAUCAUAGCCAAUUUCAUAUCUCCGCCUGUACGGGUCGGAACCACUUUAAAUACAGUUAGUUCUUCGUAGUUUAAUAAUAAUUUAUUAAUUUGUACAGAGUCAAGAUCCUGCCUCUUACCCAGGCGCUUUGUUUUGCUACGCUGUCGCACGACACACACGCGGGACGACACGCGUGGGAGAAAAUGACCACGAAAUCACAGACAAGAGAUAUACAGAGAGGAAACACGCGGCAAAUUAUGUCACGCCGAUAUAUAGAGGAUAUUUCACGGCGGCGCGGAGAUAUGACUUUUUAUCUUUGAGUGGUGAAAAAAAUAUUUUACGAACGAGCGCAGCGAGUGAGUAAAAUAUUGUUUUUAACACGAGAAGAUAAAAGUCAUAUCUUCAAGCCAACGUGUAAUGUUCUGUUUAUUAAUAAUGAUAAUGUCCGAAGCAAAAAAUUGUAUAAAUACUAAAAGUCACGUGAUCGAUAUCCUUACUAGUCAAGAUAUGGAAAAUAUGUCACUGCGUAUUUAUCAGUAUCUCACUCUCUACUAUAUAAUAAAUUCAGUCUAUUAAUAACUAUAGAAAAUUAUAUUAAUUCACUAUUUUAUAAAAUUUUGACAAUGCAGAGGAAAAAACUAUACAUAUUAUAGAAGUAUUUGUGGUUUUUUUAUGCAAGAAUUAUAUUUUGAGGCAUUUAUAUCAUUCGCUGCUUUGUUUUUUAUACAUGAGCAUCUGAAAAUCCCAGCCAGUGCUUUUCACGAUCUUAAUAAGGAGUAGAUAGGGAAAAAUUAUUAUCCCCGAGCCGAAGUCUAAAGUUCAUCAAUCAUCGCGGACGUGGGUCACCAACGGUGUUCAAGUGUUGGGUGUGUGGUCAUCCUCACUGAUCUCAAAAAUAUGGCGGACUGUCAUGAAUAGCGGCAAUAUUUUAAUUUUGGAAUAGGUAACAGGACCUCUACAUGCGUCUUGGACCUGUUUGCUUGUAAUCAUUAUUUAUCUAAUGGAUUUCUUUUAUAUUCAACGGGGUCUUGAAAGUAGACCAUGCCGCAAAAUAUUGUAUAAAAGGUGCACGCGUAUUAUGCGUGCGUUGUUUUGUGUCUUUUUAUGUCAAUCCGUUGUAGAAAUAUCGUAAUUGAAGUUAGCAUGUACUGUAUGUAAAGUUAUUACUUGGUAAUUGAUAGGUGUAAUUUGAUGAUGCACAUGAAUUUAUCACAGGGUCGGAUUUGACCAUACUGCGAUAUUACAAAUUUAGAAUUUGUAACAAGACUUGUGAUUUUGUGUUGUGUAAUUUUCCUGUAUCUCAUUUGAAUAAAUGGUUUUUUUAAAUUUAUCUUAUCAGGGUCUGGAAAGUAGACCAUGCAUUGAGAAAUUGCAAACCUAAUCCUUGCUUUAUACUGUGUACUGUUUCCGUAAUCUGUCCAUCAUAUGUAGUUAAGUCUGUGUGAGGAUUGUAGGUUUAUUCCUUAGUAUUUAAGUAUAUACAUGCAGUUAGAUUAUGUACAUACUCACAGGGUCUUGAAAGCAAACCAUGCCGUGAAAUAUGUAAUGAAGCCAUAGGCGUACGGGACGGGGGGGGGGGCAGCUGCCCCCCAAAAAGAUUACAAAGUCGAAAAGUCGGGCAAAUGUUCAACAAAAGUCGGGCAAAAAGUAGUCAAAGCAGUAGAAUCUCUCUUAAUAAUAACCCCAGUUUGUUGGGCAGAAAAAGCCAGUUGGGCAAUAUUCGCUUCACAGUCGGGCAAUAUUGGGUUACUAUAAAAAUAAAUGGGACAAAUUCUGUCAAUUUUGCCGGAAAUUAUGUCAAUUUUGUGAUGUUUGGGAAAAUUUGUUUGAUGUUCCGAAAAAUUUUGGUAUGUUCGAAAAAUUUUUGGACCCCUAAAAUGGUACACUGACCGAAAUUUUUUUGGCGACGGGGGGGGGAGGUCGCCAAAAUUAAUUGUUCCGGGAAAAAAACUUUUCGGCACUGGUCGGGCACAAUCGGAAAAAGUCGGGCAAAUUUCUUUCCGCCCCCCUAAUUUUUUCCUUCCGGUACGCCCAUGAAUGAAGCCUAUGGUUUGUGUGAUGUAUCUAACUAUUGAUAGGUAGAAUAGGUAGAUGUUGUACAAUCUACCAAAAUUGCGGCUUAUAGAAUCGGGCAGAACAUUUAGUUAUGCCAAAAGGGUAAACCUAAUUAGAUGCCCUAGACUAAUAAUCCCAUAUGUUUUACAAAACACAAAAAACGUGGUGCCCAGGGUCUGGCAAAAAGUUUUUUGACUGCACAGUAUGGCAGUCAUAACGUAGUAUAUACUAUAUGGAUUAAUACUUUUAAAUAAUAUAUAUAAUAAGGAUUGAUUGUCCAAAGCAGUUCGAAGCAGUCCGAGCCAGUUUCGCGUUUCAACGUGGUAUGAUAUUGGGUCAAUAUCAUUAGAAAUGACUGUAAAGAAAGGCGAACAUGGGUCGAACGGCAUGUAUAGAAUGGCUUUGGACAAACCAUCCCAUUGGUUCAACAAAAAAUAAAAUAUAACAUCAGGGAGAUAGAUGGAUGGUAUUGGAGAGAUGUUGUGAUUUUUAUUUAUAUUAUAUAUAUUAUAUAAGUAACAAAUCAGGAUUAGAAACAGCAUUGGCUACCAAGAAUACUUUUAAAUUUAUUAAUCGUUAUGCCCUGUUCUUUUGCUGAAAUUGGCAAGCUAUUCCAUAGUAAAGCCCCAGAGUAGCUAAUACUUUUUUUCAAAAAAUUGGUUUUAGGCUUAGGAAUAUGGAAAUUACUUCGCAAAUUAUGAAAUUCAUUGUUACUAAUUUCAAAAAUAUCUGUCAUAGGCUCAUUUAGAUUAUUGUUUUUCACAUUAUACAUGAACGUUACCUUUUUGAAUUUCAUUCGUUCUGCCAGUGGCCGCCAACCAAGUUCUGAUAAAAUCUCACACGAUCUAAUCUCAUACGAUUUGCCUGAAAUGACCCUUGCAGCCCUUUCUGUAAUUUUUGUAAAUUUCCAAUUAGAUAAUUACUGCAUGUAUCCCAGACAAGGCUACAAUAGUCAAAAUGAGGCAGAAUUAGGGCAUUGUAGACAUGCAUUAAAGUAAAUUUCGGUACGUAAGGUUUCAAUCGUCUCAACAUACCGAUUCCUUUUGAAACCUUGGCAAUUGUAGCGUCGACAUGAUUUUUCCAAAGAAGCUGGCCAUCUAUACCACAACCCCCAAGGUUGUUAUUUCACUUACUCUGUUAAUUUCUGUAUCGCCUAAUCUAAUCUAAUUGUAGGAGUUUGGAUAUCAUUUAAACGUUGUCUAGAGCCUAUCAACAUAUAUUCAGUUUUUUCGAUAUUUAAAGUUAAUUUAUUGGCAAGCAACCACCGGUGAACUUUUUCUAGAUCCUCAUUCAAUUGACUUUGAACAACUUCGGCAGAUAUACCGCUAGUUGUUAAAUUUGUAUCAUCGGCAAACAGACUUGCGUUCGAGAAAGAUAGACAGUUUUAGGGAGGUCAUUUACAUAAAUAAGAAAAAGUAAUGGGUCCAAGUUAGACCCCUGAGGAAUUCCACAAGUAAUAACAGCCGGGGAGGACACUGUUUGAGCAAUUUUACACAUUUGAGUAAUUGAGUACGAUUUGUAAGAUAAGAUCGAAACCAAUCUAAUGUCAGUCCAAUGCGUCCGUAAAGAAUUAACUUUUUUAACAAAAUUUCAUGGUCUACGCAGUCAAAAGCUUUCUUUAAAUCAAGGAAUUUUACCCCGUUUAAAUAUGCUCGAUCCAUGUUUAUCAACCAUUUAUUAGUUACAUCCAGCAUGCUGUUUCCGUUGAAAAUUUUUUCCUGAAACCAGAUUGCUGGGAGGCAAGUAUUGCAUUAUUUUCCAAAUACUCGUACAAUUGCAUUGAUAUUAGUUUCUCGAAUAUUUUGGCAACAGUUGACAGAACUGAAAUAGGUCUAUAGUUGCUACAUUCUGUCUUGUUUCCACUUUUAUAUAAUGGAGAUAUUAUUGCAAAUUUUAAACCAUUUGGAAAAAUACCUGUAUU